UACGGAGGGUGCAAACGUUGCUCGGAAUCAUUGGGCGUAAAGCGCACGUAGGUGGCCUGUUAAGUCAGGUGUGAAAUCCCCGGGCUUAACCUGGGAAUUGCGCUUGAAACUAGCGGGCUUGAGUGUGGCAGAGGGGGGUGGAAUUCCACGUGUAGCAGUGAAAUGCGUAGAGAUGUGGAGGAACACCGAUGGCGAAGGCAGCCCCCUGGGUCAACACUGACGCUCAUGCACGAAAGCGUGGGGAGCAAACAGG
rnacentral:rRNA from 1 species